rnacentral:rRNA from 1 species
UACAGAGGUCCCAAGCGUUGUUCGGAUUCAUUGGGCGUAAAGGGUGCGUAGGCGGCGCCGUAAGUCGGAUGUGAAAUCCCGGGGCUCAACCCCGGAACUGCAUUCGAUACUGCGGUGCUUGAGGACUGGAGAGGAGACUGGAAUUCACAGUGUAGCAGUGAAAUGCGUAGAUAUUGUGAGGAAGGCCAGUGGCGAAGGCGGGUCUCUGGACAGUUCCUGACGCUGAGGCACGAAGGCCAGGGGAGCAAACGGG